UUUUUGAAAAACUGUGACAGAGAUCAGACUUGUGGGGGUGUUUUGAGGCGGUGUGAGAGUCCCGUACAGGAAACAGGAAACAUCACUGCCUCUAUCUCUGCCACUAGACACGAGCUCUGAACUGCCGGGAGUUUGGGGAACAGCUGACUGUUGUUUCCUGCAACAACAAAGCCCUCUGUGUCUCUCUCCUCUCUUUUCUUCUCUCUCUCUCUCUCUCCUGGGAAAUAAAGCUGCAUUCAAGUGCGCUCAGAAACGCCGAAAUCUAUAUCUAUAUACGAUCUGAUGGAAACCAGCUGGGAAAUAUAAAGUCUGCAACAAGAAUACAACAGGACGUUUCUUUGACAAUCCCCUUUCAUGUUAUUGAGAGUUCAGUUGUUCACUCACCGAGCUCUCAGGGCGCUGACUGUAGACUUAUCUAUCCUGGAGAG